AACAAUUUGCAGUUCAUUCAACGAACAACAAUAUGCAAUUUUGAGGUUAGCAAUAUUAAUCGAGCAAUGCCGACGAUUAUAUAGGUUAAAGCUGUUUAACCAACGCGAAGAUCAAACAAAUAAUUCCGUGAAAAGCGAAUAACAAAGAGCGGAAAAAAAACUAGAAUGACAUAUAAGAUGAAAGAUUAAAACGAAUUCAAUUUGACUGUUGAACGGAACACGAAAUGUGACGAUAGCGUUUCUUGUUAUAGUACGUGCACAGUGUCACGCGCAUUAUCCAUCAGAGGUGACAUUCAUCUUUCUUUCGUAAAAAUACCGGCUAAUUAACCACUAUGCCUAUCCGACCUUGCAAUUAAUCGUACUGUUGCGCAUGGAUACGUGUUUGCUUCCGGCGUAAUCCCUGAUAUACUGCCAAUAGGCUUCUUAAUUACAAUCAGCCGUUCCGAAUUACACUUUUCGCCAGAGAUAUAGGUUAAACAAAUAUAAUGAAUAUCCUUUUGACUUUUGAACGGAAAUGUUACAAUACAUCGUUAAAAUAAUGUGCUCGUGCACAUUUCGUAAUAAUAUACAUUGUUUGAAGUAAUCAGGAAGCCAGCUAAUUCUAAUGAGCUUGCUGAUAUUUUAUCAAGCUUAGAAAAUUCAAAUCGAACACUAAGUAAAUUAAAUAGAUGAAAAAAAGAUAUUAUUAUUUUAGUAUUCAGAACGAUUUAUUAAAUUGUUGGAAACAUUUGAAUCUAUAAAUACGAGUUCGAAUGGAAUAAUUGAAAGUAGUUGAAACUAGUUAACAAUUUUGUCUCAUAUUUUAUGAUAAGAAGUUUAUUACUUAUAUUAGUUAUAUGCUAUAAGGAAAAUUUUAAUGUUCGAAAGAUGAACGAAUUUAAAUUUCAGAUACAUCGUUCACAUGUAAACUCGGUUAUAUAUCUAUGGACAAAUAUAUUUACUGAAAAUAACUGGUCUCUAUUUGUACAGCUUGAAUAAAUAAGCCGCAGAAUCUUCGAUGCAAUAUAUCUUCGAAUGCUUUAAAUAUCACAAUUGUUUUAUUAACACAUAAAAUAACGAUAUUGUAUCAAAAAUAAUUAAAUUAAUUUAAUUUUAAAUACGUUUAAAAAAAUUAUUACUAUUAUUAAAAAAAGAAUAUAUUGAUGAUAAUUUAUAUUAUAAUUUACAAAUUAAUUUUAGAAAUUAUAAUAUAUUACUGAUUAAAUAUUCAAAAAAAAAUAUACAAAGAAAAAAAUAUAUCAUCAUCAUUAUUAUUAUAUUAAUAUGAUAACUAUAUACAAUGUAUAUACAAUGUACAAAAUUGCUAAUAUUGAUGGAAAAUAACAAUCACUUGAACUU